GACGAACGCUGGCGGCGUGCUUAACACAUGCAAGCCGAGCGAGAACCUGAAGAGGGGUAACCCUUUUCAGGGGAGAGCGGCGAACGGGUGAGUAACACGUGGGCAACCUGCCCCAGACACCGGGAUAACCCAGGGAAACCUGAGCUAAUACCGGAUACUCCGGCGAGAUCGCAUGGUCUUGCCGGGAAAAGCUCCGACGGUCUGGGAUGGGCCCGCGGCCUAUCAGCUUGUUGGUGGGGUAACGGCCUACCAAGGCGUCGACGGGUAGCUGGUCUGAGAGGACGGACAGCCACACUGGGACUGAGACACGGCCCAGACUCCUACGGGAGGCAGCAGUGGGGAAUAUUGCGCUAAUGCGCGAAAGCGUGGCGCAGCGACGCCGCGUGGGGAGUGAAGG
rnacentral:rRNA from 1 species